GGGUAGUCGUAGCGAAAGCGAGUCUGAAUAGGGCGUUGUAGUGGCAGGAUCUAGACCCGAAGCGGAGUGAUCUAUCCAUGGCCAGGUUGAAGCGACGGUAAGACGUCGUGGAGGACCGAACCCACUUCAGUUGAAAAUGGAGGGGAUGAGCUGUGGGUAGGGGUGAAAGGCCAAUCAAACUGGGAAAUAGCUCGUACUCCCCGAAAUGUUUUUAGGAACAGCGUCGGGAAUUGUAUGACGGAGGUAGAGCUACCGAUAGGACUAGGGGGAGUCAAAUCCUACCAAAUCCUGACGAACUCCGAAUGCCGUCAUAUAGAACCGGCAGUGAGGGCUGGGGUGCUAAGGUCCCAGUCCGAGAGGGAAAGAACCCAGACCUUCCGCUAAGGUCCCCAAGUCCGUGCUAAGUUGAACAAAGGUGGUCCAGUUGCUUAGACAGCCAGGAGGUUAGCUUGGAAGCAGCUAUUCCUUUAAAGAGUGCGUAACAGCUCACUGGUCGAGCGACAGGGCGUCGAUAAUAAUCGGGCAUCAAGCGCGGCACCGAAGCGAAGGAUUGUAAUUUAUUACAAUGGUAGGGGAGCAUUCCAACGACAGUGAAGGUACAUGGUAAUGUGUGCUGGAGUUUUUGGAAAAGCAAAUGUAGGCAUAAGUAACGAUAAUGCGGGCGAGAAACCCGCACACCGUAA
rnacentral:rRNA from 14 species